AGAUGUUCUAUUUGUCUCCACGAUGAUUGCUCCUAAUGUAGUACUUUGUCCCAGAAUAGCACUUGUUUCUGCCUUUAUUAAUCUCCCCUAUUGAGUUAAAAAGAGGUUACCUCUUCUCACCAAUUUAUGCAAUCCCGUACGGAAAACAUGUGGCUCUGAAAAUUGGAGAGCUUUGUCAAUCAUAAAGUGAAAAAUAAGCAUGAAUUUGUAAAUGAG